rnacentral:lncRNA from 1 species
ACCUUCACUUGUAGUAAUUUUUUGAGUCCCGGUUGUAAUGUGCAUUUCUCCAAAAAGGACCUUUCUCUCAUUCUGUUAAAGGUCUUGCUGACUUCAAAUGUGGGACUACCUUAAAAUACUUCAUGCGUGAAAAUACUGAAUUUUCAUCAGAUUCUUCAGAGAGAAAAGAGAGAUGUGCUAGGGAAGAGGAGAAAGAGGCCACUAACACUUGCCACCGGGAGAGUGUUUUUACUUUAAAAAUGAUUUAACCGGGAAAAACAAUGUUACAUUCAUGUGCAAGAAUAAACAGAAGAAAAUAACCAAGACAAUAAAUAAAAGACAUAUUACCAGACUUCACGAAUACAAAGCAACAGUGAUUAAACUUUUGGUGUAU